UCGUCAGCUCGUGUCGUGAGAUGUUGGGUUAAGUCCCGCAACGAGCGCAACCCUUGUCAUUAGUUGCCAUCAUUAAGUUGGGCACUUUAAUGAGACUGCCGGUGACAAUCCGUAGGAAGGUGGGGAUGACGUCAAGUCAUCAUGCCCCUUAUGACUUGGGCUACACACUUCCCUCAAUGGACUCGCAACGAGAAGCGAACCUGUGAAGGCAAGCGGACCUCUUAAAGCCGUUAUCAGUUCGGACAUUAGGUUGCAACUCGCCUACACGAAGCUGGAAUCGCUAGUAAUCGAGGAUCAGCACGCCGCGGUGAAUACGUUCCCGGGCUUUGUACACACCGCCCGUCACACCAUGAGAGUCUGUAACACCCCAAGCCGGUGGGAUAACCCUUAUAGGAGUCAUCCCUUUAAGGUAGGACAGAUGAAUGGUUCGACGUGGUCCCAAGGUAACCUUA
rnacentral:rRNA from 1 species